rnacentral:rRNA from 1 species
GAUGAACGCUGGCGGCGUGCCUAAUACAUGCAAGUCGAGCGAACAGAUAAGGAGCUUGCUCCUUUGACGUUAGCGGCGGACGGGUGAGUAACACGUGGGUAACCUAUCUAUAAGACUGGAAUAACUCCGGGAAACCGGGGCUAAUGCCGGAUAACAUGUUGAACCGCAUGGUUCUACAGUGAAAGGCGGCUUUGCUGUCACUUAUAGAUGGACCCGCGCCGUAUUAGCUAGUUGGUGAGGUAACGGCUCACCAAGGCAACGAUACGUAGCCGACCUGAGAGGGUGAUCGGCCACACUGGAACUGAGACACGGUCCAGACUCCUACGGGAGGCAGCAGUAGGGAAUCUUCCGCAAUGGGCGAAAGCCUGACGGAGCAACGCCGCGUGAGUGAUGAAGGUCUUCGGAUCGUAAAACUCUGUUAUUAGGGAAGAACAAAUGCGUAAGUAACUGUGCGCGUCUUGACGGUACCUAAUCAGAAAGCCACGGCCAACUACGUG